rnacentral:rRNA from 1 species
AGAGUUUGAUCAUGGCUCAGGACGAACGCUGGCGGCGUGCCUAAUACAUGCAAGUCGAGCGGGACACUUCGGUGUCUAGCGGCGGACGGGUGAGUAACACGUGGGUAACCUGCCUGAUAGACUGGGAUAACGCUUGGAAACGAGUGCUAAUACCGGAUAGGCUCUUGAAGCGCAUGCUUUAAGAGGGAAAGAGGCUAUCG